rnacentral:rRNA from 1 species
UAAUACAGAGGGUGCAAGCGUUAAUCGGAAUUACUGGGCGUAAAGCGCGCGUAGGUGGAUAUUUAAGUCGGAUGUGAAAGCCCCGGGCUUAACCUGGGAAUUGCAUUCGAUACUGAAUAUCUAGAGUAUAGUAGAGGGAAGUGGAAUUUCCGGUGUAGCGGUGAAAUGCGUAGAUAUCGGAAGGAACACCAGUGGCGAAGGCGGCUUCCUGGACUAAUACUGACACUGAGGCGCGAAAGCGUGGGGAGCAAACAGGAUUAGAUACCCUGGUAGUCCACGCCGUCAACGAUGAGAACUAGCUGUUGGGAGGGUUGCCUCUUAGUAGCGAAGCUAACGCGUUAAGUUCUCCGCCUGGGGAGUACGGCCGCAAGGUUA